rnacentral:rRNA from 1 species
GACGAACGCUGGCGGCGUGCUUAACACAUGCAAGUCGAACGGUGAUGCUCCAGCUUGCUGGAGUGGAUCAGUGGCGAACGGGUGAGUAACACGUGAGCAACCUGCCCCAGACUCUGGAAUAAGCGCUGGAAACGGCGUCUAAUACUGGAUACGAAACUGGCCCGCAUGGGCAUGGUUUGGAAAGUUUUUCGGCUUGGGAUGGGCUCGCGGCCUAUCAGCUUGUUGGUGAGGUAAUGGCUCACCAAGGCGACGACGGGUAGCCGGCCUGAGAGGGCGACCGGCCACACUGGGACUGAGACACGGCCCAGACUCCUACGGGAGGCAGCAGUGGGGAAUAUUGCACAAUGGGCGAAAGCCUGAUGCAGCGACGCCGCGUGAGGGAUGACGGCCUUCGGGUUGUAAACCUCUUUCAGCAGGGAAGAAGCGAAAGUGACGGUACCUGCAGAAGAAGCACCGGCUAACUACGUG